rnacentral:misc_RNA from 1 species
AAUAAGUAAAUAAAUAAAUAAAUCGCCGAGAAGGCGGAAAGACGGUGGAAAGAACUCAGUGGUAAGUCUUGGAGAGCAAGUGAUUCCGUUCUCAAUCUAGUCGGAACCCUAGUUUUCUCCGUCAAGAUUACCAUGGAAAUCGAUUCUGCCGAGUAUCAGUUAAGGUGUCAGCUUACAGGUCACGAAGACGAUGUCCGGGGUAUCUGUAUCUGUGACAAGGUUGGUUUUGCAACCUCAUCUAGAGACAGAACCAUUCGGUUUUGGUCUCCAGAUGAAUCUAAUCACCGCAGGUUUACUACGUCAAAGAUACUGCUAGGGCAUACAAGUUUUGUUGGCCCACUAGCUUGGGUUGCUCCAAGUGAGGAGUUACCUGAGGGAGGACUUGUAUCUGGUGGCAUGGACACUCUUAUCUUGGUGUGGAAUUUGUCUACUGGAGAUAAAGUUCAGACACUGAAGGGUCAUAAGUUGCAAGUUACAGGUAUUGCUUUGGAUGGCUCAGACGUUGUCUCAACAUCUGUUGAUUGUACAUUAAGACGAUGGAGGAAGGGCCAAGAAGUUGAAGUUUUGGAAGCUCAUAAAGCGGCAAUCCAAGCAAUUAUCAGAUUGCCCUCAGGCGAGCUUGUUACAGGCUCAAGUGACACAACACUGAAAGUUUGGAAUGGAGCAGCAUGUGCACACACUUUUUCUGGGCAUACAGACACUGUUCGAGGCCUUGCCGUGGUGCCUGGUCUAGGAGUUCUUUCUGCAUCCCAUGAUGGUACCAUAAGGCUGUGGGAACUUAGUGGUCAAGUUCUACUGGAGAUGGUUGGUCACACUUCUAUUGUCUAUUCUGUAGAUGCUCAUGCCUCUGGGCUUAUUGUCAGUGGCAGUGAGGAUCGUUUUGCAAAGAUCUGGAAAGAUGGUGUCUGUGUCCAAAGCCUAGAGCAUCCCGGCUGUGUUUGGGAUGCCAAAUUCUUA